rnacentral:rRNA from 1 species
CGGGUGAGUAAUGCUUAGGAAUCUGCCUAUUAGUGGGGGACAACAUCUCGAAAGGGAUGCUAAUACCGCAUACGUCCUACGGGAGAAAGCAGGGGACCUUCGGGCCUUGCGCUAAUAGAUGAGCCUAAGUCGGAUUAGCUAGUUGGUAGGGUAAAGGCCUACCAAGGCGACGAUCCGUAGCUGGUCUGAGAGGAUGAUCAGCCACAUCGGGACUGAGACACGGCCCGAACUCCUACGGGAGGCAGCAG